UAAGAGAAUGCAUAAGAGCUGAUAACCGAUGAUAUAUUGAAGGUUUAUUACUGUUAAUCAAUGUCAAUAAUGUGAUAGUGGAGGAUUAAUGAAUUAAUAUAUACUAUUAGGUUCAUUCUCAUCUUUUCUUCUCCAUGCCUACGUUUUCACUUUUCACCAAUACCAGUAGACUAAAUGUCCUUUUCGCCCAACAUUUUUUCGUAUGAAGACAUGAUUACUUGCUUAGAUCAAGAUAACCUUCAUAUAGUUUCGUGUCAACGAUGAAUAAAAUGUUUGAUCUAUAGUUCAUAAUGGAGAAACAAGAAGACAUAUGGAUAAUAACAGUGCCUACGAAAGCGGGUUGAUCAAUUGGACUACAAAUAGACAAAAAAAUAAACAAUCCCAGAUGCUCUACCUCCCUCGGAUUUGGGUGACUCCUCAAUCCAUCUUUUGUGUUAAUCUUUCUAUUUUUCGUUUUCUCUUUGAAUGAGUUUUGUGGGUUCUUUUCCAACUUUAUAGGGAUGAAGAUAGAAGUCUUUGAUGCUAAAUAAAGCUGUUGCAAGAAAUAAAAAAUCAACAAAUAAUUUGGGUUUAUCCGAAUAAUUCUUUCGUAUGUUUGGUGUUUUGCCGAAUGAUGAUCAACUCUCUUUGCUCCAAGGCACCCGCGCUACAACAAAAACUAUUGUGUAACUAUAUAUUAGAAGUGUUCCAAAAGAUUGAAGAUCGAGGCAUAACCAGAAUUUCAACUUUACAGGUUAUAUUACUGAAAUUACAGAAUAUUAUCAAUCGAGAUAGAGAAAUUAGGUGCAUAGGUUUUGAAUCCACAUGUGAAGUAGUAAGCAGUUACGGUCUCUUACAUGAACAAAGUUAUGCUUUUUCAUUUUAUAUUAGCAUUAUUGAAAUUGCAGUUAUUUGCUAGCAAAA